rnacentral:rRNA from 1 species
AACGAACGCUGGCGGCAUGCCUAACACAUGCAAGUCGAACGCCUGUAGCAAUACAGGAGUGGCGCACGGGUGAGUAACGCGUGGGAACCUGCCUAGUGGUAAGGAAUAACCGCGGGAAACUGCGGCUAAUACCUUAUGAGCCCUACGGGGAAAGAUUUAUCGCCAUUAGAGGGGCCCGCGUCCGAUUAGCUAGUUGGUGAGGUAACGGCUCACCAAGGCUCCGAUCGGUAGCNGGUCUGAGAGGAUGAUCAGCCACACUGGGACUGAGACACGGCCCAGACUCCUACGGGAGGCAGCAGUGGGGAGGUAUUGGACAAUGGGGGCAACCCUGAUCCAGCAAUGCCGCGUGAGUGAUGAAGGCCUUAGGGUUGUAAAGCUCUUUCGACGGGGAAGAUGAUGACGGUACCCGUAGAAGAA